rnacentral:tRNA from 3 species
UGGGGUGUCGCCAAGUGGUAAGGCAGCGGUUUUUGGUACCGCCAUUCGGAGGUUCGAAUCCUUCCACCCCAG